rnacentral:rRNA from 1 species
GGUGAAAUUAUGGUUCCGGCGAAGACGCCGGAGACCCGCAUCUAGACGAAAAGACCCCGUGGAGCUUUACUAUAACUUCAUAUUGGAGUUUGAUUUAACAUGUGUAGGAUAGGUGGGAGACGUUGAUGCUUGAACGCUAGUUUAAGAGUAGUCGCCGUUGAAAUACCGCCCUUGUUACAUUGAACUUCUAACUUGUUCCCGUUAUCCGGGAAGAGGACAGUGUGUGGUGGGUAGUUUGACUGGGCA